GAUGAACGCUGGCGGCGUGCCUAAUACAUGCAAGUCGAGCGAACGGACGAGAAGCUUGCUUCUCUGAUGUUAGCGGCGGACGGGUGAGUAACACGUGGAUAACCUACCUAUAAGACUGGGAUAACUUCGGGAAACCGGAGCUAAUACCGGAUAAUAUUUUGAACCGCAUGGUUCAAAAGUAAAAGACGGUCUUGCUGUCACUUAUAGAUGGAUCCGCGCUGCAUUAGCUAGUUGGUAAGGUAACGGCUUACCAAGGCAACGAUGCAUAGCCGACCUGAGAGGGUGAUCGGCCACACUGGAACUGAGACACGGUCCAGACUCCUACGGGAGGCAGCAGUAGGGAAUCUUCCGCAAUGGGCGAAAGCCUGACGGAGCAACGCCGCGUGAGUGAUGAAGGUCUUCGGAUCGGAAAACUCUGUUAUUAGGGAAGAACAUAUGUGUAAGUAACUGUGCACAUCUUGACGGUACCUAAUCAGAAAGCCACGGCUAACUACGUG
rnacentral:rRNA from 1 species